AGAGUUUGAUCCUGGCUCAGGAUGAACGCUGGCGGCGUGCUUAACACAUGCAAGUCGAACGGAAAGGCCUUGUGCUUGCACAAGGUACUCGAGUGGCGAACGGGUGAGUAACACGUGGGUGAUCUGCCCUGCACUGUGGGAUAAGCCUGGGAAACUGGGUCUAAUACCAUAUAGGACCGCAUCUUGGAUGGUGUGGUGGAAAGCUUUUGCGGUGUGGGAUGAGCCUGCGGCCUAUCAGCUUGUUGGUGGGGUAAUGGCCUACCAAGGCGGCGACGGGUAUCCGGCCUGAGAGGGUGUACGGACACAUUGGGACUGAGAUACGGCCCAGACUCCUACGGGAGG
rnacentral:rRNA from 1 species